UCACGUUCCCACUGCCCACCACCUCCCCAAAGUGUGCGCUGCCAUCAUCGCCCUCACCAGCACUGAUUGUGGAUGGGGCGGAUGAGGGGUCUUGGGAGACCGUGGCCCACACCGUCGCCUCAUUUGCAGCUGCAGGGGGCCGGUUUGGGAAGCUCGAGGUGUGGGACAGCGAGCUGCGUGCUGAAGACGUGCAGCUUCUGCUGCUGAGACUCCAGGAGCUGCGCGUCAGGACGGGCGGCGAGGGCGACACGCGCGCCGAGACUCACGGGUCGAAUGUUCAUCUGUACAUCACUGAUGACUGCAAACUCAACAGUGAAAGUGUUCAACGCAAAUAAAUGAUCUGAUACUGCAACAGCGGUCAGGAGCGGCGAAGUGAAUUGUUACAACACACGAUCGUCGCAACACGUGAUCGACGCAACAUUCGUUCCAUGAAACACUUCUCCCUUAUACAGAUUAUGAAAUUAUAACUUUCUCCUCUUAGACGCUACUCACAAUACUCACACGUGACAAAUCCUUGAUAAUUAGGACGAACGUUUUCCAUACAAAGGAGCAGAUCUAGCAAACGCAGGAUCAUAGACCAAUUGUGCACCUCCGUCGUUUAGCCCUUGUUGAACGUUCCAUGUUGCCGGAACUAUUGCUGCGUGUCCACAGACAUUAAAUUAAUCCACUACUUAGGACGAUGAAUGUGGCCUUAAUUUACAUGUCAUCACAAUGCGAAAUAAUACUUAUUUUGCAGUGAAUUUGAAAAAGUUUAAAGUUCGUCAAUUUUUUUUAUUUUAUACCGAAGUAUUAUUAGAUAUUUCUUUAGACUAGCAUGAAAUCCUUCUGAAUUGACAAGCCACUUCACUCGCGCCAGAAACAAAGCAGAAAUAUUUUCAUAGGCUAUAGUCAAAUGCUUUAUUGACUUUAUUCGGGAUUGUUAUAUUUCAGAGUGAAUCGUAAUGUAUUAUAUUGAUUAUUUUCAUGUCAAUUUUAUUUUAUUAAUUACUAUUACUUUCAUUUUUUUAGCUAUAUGUACAUAAGUUGCGGAAGAAAUAUGUGGCUAAUUUGAGAUGACGACGGUAAAUGACACUCCAUAUCAGUCUCUUCAACCCACUUACGCUAUUAGAGGCUCUGCUCUGUCUUGGGUGAAUCAGGCGUCUCAUUAUAUUCAUGUUAAUUAUAUUCUAAUAUUAGAUCAUCUGUAAUUGCGACGUAAUGUUCACUAGACGUUGUAGAGAUUGAUGGAAAGGUCCUACACCUGAGACAGCAUGGACAACAUCACGUGAGAGAUCACGCGAUCAAGACCUCAGUAGCGGGCGGAAGUUGUGACUCUAUAAGAGGGCUGGAAUCCUUAGUAAAGCCCCCAGUAACUAACUAGCAAGCCACAAUGAAACUCGCGAUAGAACUGCUUCGACGUAACAGCAGCCGUCUAAGCCUUAUACCACUAUUAUAAUUUUCAUGUAUUAAAACCCUAUUUCAAGAUAAGUUCUCUAGACAGAUGUUGUCUUACUUAUCUCUC
rnacentral:lncRNA from 1 species